AGGAAGGCGGGGCGAGUUGCCAAAAAUCCACCACGUGGGAACGGCAGACCGCACUUGGAAAACUGCGGCAUCCGCGUUCUGCUUUCUCCUUGGUGUCUCUAGUUGCGUGUUCCUUGAAGAGCCAAGAUUGUGUUUCCCAUAAGCUUCUACUUUUUAAGGAAACGAUGUGGAGGACCGAUUUCGGAGAGCAGUAACAGUUAAAUCUAGAUGGACACAAAAGUCUUGGGAGUGUUUGAAAAUGGCAUGUUGAAGAUGCCAGAGCCACAAAAUGGGAAGAAUCGCGGUUCCUAGAUUUUUGCUUGGAGGAUUGCAAGCAGCAACGGGAUUUGUUAUCGAGAAACUUCUGUGUGUGGUCAUCUACUGUAGCAGCUAGCAUUGCUUUAACAUGCUUGAUGCUGCUGGUGACCUGCAGGAAAGCUGGGGUCCUUUGCCAUCAAGCUGCAAGCAAAGAAUCUGUGAGCGAAGAAUGUGAAGGAGGAGAUUUGGCAGGAUCUGGAGGAGCUAAGUAGCUGUGAGCCUGGAUGCCUCCCCGCACCAGUAAAGUAAGCCAGCAAACCAGCAUCCCUUGCAAGCUGCUCUAGUACCAGUGCCCUACUCUGAGCUCCUUCUCUUCUGCCUUCAAAUACUGUGCAAAUUUCCCUACAGGAAAGAAAAAUUGGGGAAGUCAUUCCAAGGUCAGCUGAGUUGACACCAUACAAAGCCAGUGCAACUAACAAUGGGAAAGGUAUAGUGGAGGGACCCUCACUCACUGUUAGGAGAAACACACAUUUGUAUAACUGUGUAAAAUACUUUUAUCCCUGCAAUUCUAAUUCUAGUGAUUUACCCUGAAAAUAUACGUCUAAUACGGGGAAUGACAAACCUAAGUUCAUUCUUUGCAACAUUAUUUGCAAUAGCAGCACCAUGAAUAGUAAGGUUCAUCAGUAGAAGAUUGGUUAAGAAUCUUAACUUUACAUCUGUAUAUUGGAAAGAAUGUUCUUCUCAUGGGAAGACAUCAAAGACAUGUAAGUGAAAAAAGUCAAAAUACAGAACAGUAUAUACAGUGUGAUACCAUUUUCACUGAAAGAGGUAUUCAUGUUUGUAUAUGUAUGGAAUAUCAAUAGAAGUAAACUGAAAAUAUCAGUGGGAACACACUGAUAACAUGCUUUGCCUCCAGGAAGAGAAACUCUGUUACUGGGGGACAGAAAUUGAAUGGAGUAUUUGACUAUACAGUUUUUAAAAAAAUUACGUAUCAUGUGAAAAGUGAAAGUCACUCAGUUGUGUCCAACUCUUUGCGACCCCAUGGACUAUACAGUCCAUGGAAUUCUUCAGGCCAGAAUAUUGGAGUGGGUAGCCUUUCCCUUCUCUAGGGGAUCUUCCCAACUUAGGGAUCGAACCCAUUUCCCCCACAUUGCAGAUGGAUUCUUUACUAGCUGAGCCACACAUAUAUUAGUUAUUAAAAAAUAAAGAGUUAAUAGUAUAAACAUUUUCAUUCAAUGAGACUAUUACAUGCACUUCUUAUGUUGUUUAUUUCUGAUACACGCCUCCUGAAAGAAAAUCUUAUCUCUUUUCUCCACUUUAUGUAAAGCACAAUGUAUGUUUAUAACUGUCUAUUAAAAAUACAGUGAAAAGCCUUCUUUUAAUUUUUAAUUAGGUGAGACAUUUUUAUGACCUGGUCAAUAACCACUGAAAAUGUAUGUGGAAUCAUGAUAAAUUGUUUAAUUUCUGUCUAAAGGAAUCUUAAUAUAUAAUUUAUAUAUAUAGUCCAUUAAAUUACAUACAGCAUGGGAAUACUUGGAAUGAAGACCCCCUAAGGAAAUAUGAAAUAUGAGAAUUUUUUUCAAACUUGAGAGUAUUUAUUUCAAUCACAUCCUUUUUCAAAGAUCAAGUAGAAAUUUACUAGGGGGCUUCCCUGGCGGCUCAGAUGGUAAAGAAUCUGACUGCAAUGCGGGAGAACUGGGGUUUGAUCCCUGGGUUGGGAAGAUCCCCUGAAGUAGGGCAUGGUUACCCACUCAAAGGAUUCUUGCCUGGAAAAACCCAAGGACAGAGGAGCCUGGAAGGUUACAGUUCACGGGGUUGCAAAGAGAUACGACUGAGUGACUAACACUUUCAAAUGUCUUUUGAAACUUACUGUGCAAACUACGGAUCUGCUCAUAUGAGAAUUAGUCAUGAUUUCACUUCAGAUGAUGGUGACCUUGUCCUGUCUUUCAUUACUUCACUCUCUUGAUCAUCUUCCUCAAGAUAACCAGGAAUGAGGGUGAAAGAAAUUUUUAGAGAGGAUUAAGUUCUAACCUUAGUAAAGAAGCCAAGUUGUCUCUGGAAUACUGUAAUCAACUCUUAUUCCAUCCACUAUUCAAGAAAUAAAUAUGAUGUAUCAAAUACAGUUGAAGCCCUUUGUGUUCCCUUCUCUUACAACCCUACUGAUUUUGCUUUUUA